rnacentral:rRNA from 1 species
UACGUAGGGUGCGAGCGUUAAUCGGAAUUACUGGGCGUAAAGCGUGCGCAGGCGGUUUUGUAAGCCAGAUGUGAAAGCCCCGGGCUCAACCUGGGAAUGGCAUUUGGGACUGCAAGGCUUGAGUGCGGCAGAGGAGACUGGAAUUCCUGGUGUAGCAGUGAAAUGCGUAGAUAUCAGGAGGAACACCGAUGGCGAAGGCAGGUCUCUGGGCCAUAACUGACGCUGAGAAGCGAAAGCAUGGGGAGCGAACAGG